rnacentral:rRNA from 1 species
UACGUAGGGGGCAAGCGUUGUCCGGAUUUAUUGGGCGUAAAGAGCGUGUAGGCGGCCACACAGGUCAGCUGUGAAAACUCGAGGCUCAACCUCGAGACGUCGGUUGAAACCGUAUGGCUAGAGUCCGGAAGAGGAGAGUGGAAUUCCCGGUGUAGCGGUGAAAUGCGUAGAGAUCGGGAGGAACACCAGUGGCGAAGGCGGCCUUCUGGACCAAUACUGACGCUCAUGCACGAAAGCGUGGGGAGCAAACAGG